rnacentral:rRNA from 1 species
GGCCUACGGGAGGCAGCAGUGGGGAAUAUUGCACAAUGGGCGCAAGCCUGAUGCAGCCAUGCCGCGUGUAUGAAGAAGGCCUUCGGGUUGUAAAACCCUGUUGUUAGGGAAGAACAAGUGCUAGUUGAAUAAGCUGGCACCUUGACGGUACCUAACCAGAAAGCCACGGCUAACUACGUGCCAGCAGCCGCGGUAAU